AAUUAACAACUACAUACAGUUCAAGUCCAAAUCUCGCAUUGAACCAGUAUGUUUGAUAAUA
rfam:Human enterovirus 70 genomic RNA, complete genome, strain: J670/71.